CAGUUUGUGCCAGUGUUUCUUCAUUGAUUUGUUCUUCCCUCGAUUGUUCCGUCUGGUUGGCGGCUUGUUUAGAGUUUUUUUAUUUGUUAGAUGCUUGGGGCAUCUUGUGCGUUUGUUUAUAAGUUGGCCUUUUUAUUAAUUCCUGAUUGUAUUUGUUUACCUAGGCUGUUGAUGGCCGUUGGGCAUGCUGUUUAUGUUGUCUUUGUAUGUGGAUGCCUCGAAUUUUUGGUUUCCAUGGUGGUAAUUCAAGUUUAUAUACUUUCCUUAUCUCUUGGAGUUUUUCCUAGGUGGUUUCCCUGUUUCAUGGUUGUUGAUUUUGUUGAGUGCUGUUUGUCUGGCUGAUUGGUCGUUCAUAUUUGUCGUUCCUGUUGUUAAUGCUGUCCCGUGGUUUUGAUCUGUUGGUGGAUAAUUCAAUUUCCUGGGUUUGGGCGUUUCAUUAAACCUGGAUGAGUACUCCUCACACAUUGUCCGAUCUCUACUAUUUGUCUUGCAUUUUUUUUCUCUUUAUAUUAUGUGUAUCAGUGCUGUCUGCAUUAAGAAUCUUCCUAGUAGGUCCCUUAUUUUGUAUUGCGGUGCCGGGUCUGCUAGUGGGUUCAUGCCCAGUAUUGUAUUUGUGUCGAAGUAAAGGUUCUUUGUUGCUAACA